CGGUUGGAACGGCGCUGUACGUGUUCCGUGGAGCAUGAUGGGAGCUGUAGUCCCGGAAGGGCUGGAACGCGGCGUUUGGGAAUCCAGGAAGGCACUUGGGGGACACUUUUGCGUCCGAGCCAUGACUUGAGGUCCUCGGGGGGAACGCAAACGUACUUGCCUUUGGACCAGGAGCCCCUGAGGAUCUGUUGAUUCCAAAAUAAACAAUCCCAAGUAUCUCUUUUGCAGCCCUCUGCUGUCUUCCACGGCUUUUUCCUCUUUGGCUCUUCAGGAAAGGAAUGGAGAGGGCAGAAUAGGGACCAGAUUUUUUGGUUCGCUUUUAGACAUGGAGAAGAGCAGAGCUGAUGACUUUGAAAAUAGGAUUAUUUAAAAUGCCAGCAGAGAAGAGGAGAGGGGGCAUCUGAAGCAAUGAAACAAAGCUCUGUUGAUGUGCAACCAGAGCACUGAAGUCAUCGGUCCCCUGGGUGGCCCAAGGACUCUCCCAUCUCAUUGUCCACACAGAGCGGAGGAGAGACUGGUCUGAGACAGGCCAUCAACUUGAAACCAAGGGAUGGAGUUCAGUCAAGAGCCCUCAAAAUGAACCAAGUCCAAAAUGAGAAGAAAUGAGUCACUGUCAAAAUUAAGUGUGGGACUGAAACGUUUGGGAGCUCUCCAGGUGGGGACUUGGGGCAGCCCUAGAGAUGAGCAGAUCCUGCUGUGCCCAGGCCGAUUCUUGUGCAUAAAUGCAGUGAUCACCACUGUGGGUGGAGGCUCUGACUGCUUCAGAGACCCCUGUAGCACCUUCUGCUCCACAGCUGAGUAAAACUGAGCAAAUUACAAUUACUUAAGAAGCUUCCACACUCCAGAGACCACAGGGCAGGUGGAUUAUCAGAACCAAUCAGAACAGCUGUAAGUGAAGCCACAUUUGGUACAGUUGAAGGCUCUGUUGCAAAGGACACUCUUCCAAUGUGAGUUAUUCCACAAUUCAAUCUUUUCCCUCAGGGCUCAUCAAAUAGCAGAGGAAGAAAGAAAAGAGACUUGGUGUUAGUCAGUGUGCACAUUGUAAGAAAGAGAGGCAUUUGAAAAAAGACUGUCUGCAGUUACAACACAAAACCUCCCUCUCGUGACCACCACCGAUGGUCACUGAGGGGGACCAGAGGAUUCUUUCCCAGAAGAACCUCUGGUCACAGCUAAGCUGGGAGGGAGGAGGUCAAUGAGUAGUUAGAAUUUUAGUGGCUACAGGAGCUGGACACUCUAUGCUAAAUACAGCAAAAGGAAGCUUGAGCAAUGAUUCUAUAACAAUCAUUGGUGCAACAGGGAAUCAUGAAACUCAGCCAUUUUCCUGGCCCAUUGAUUUUAAAUUAGGAAAACAAUGGAUCUACUCAAUUUACUAAAGCCUCUCCUUGGAGGAUUUUUGGAAAACCUGAAUGCUAAAAUCAAGAUUAAAAUGGCAAAAUGCAGGUUAUUACUCCAAAGUCUAAUUAUGUGGAAGACUCUAUUUUUGCAUUGCAGUCUUCAAAAUCAGAUGUGAUCCAUCUGUCAUCUGUAUCACUUAAGGAUGCAGUAAAUCUGGUAGUCUGGAUUGGAGAGGUGCCCCAGUGACUCAGAAAAGCAGAGCCUGUAAGAAAUACACUGAAACCCUGAGCAGGACCAGUAAGGCAAAAGCAAUACCCUUUGAAAAAAAUAAAGUUGUAGGGGGUUAUUAUCCCUCGUGGAAAGAUUUAUAAAAUAAGGCCAGUUAAAGGAAUAUUAAUCCAAAUGUAAUAUCCAUAUUUUGCCAGUUAAGAAGGCAAAUGGAGAGGAUUAGUGGCUGGUACAGGAUCCUAGAGCCAUAAAUGGGACAAUGGAAGAUAUACACACGUCAGUAGCAAAUCCUUGUACCUUGCUAACAACCUGGAGUGAAAAAUUAAAAUGGUUCACAGUAUGGAAUUUGAAAGUGGCCUUUUCUGUAUUUCUUUGAAUAGUGAAAGUAAAGAACUAUUUACUUCUGAAUGGGAAAGUCCAAACACAGUGAGAAGAACCCAACUGACUCGGCCAGUUAUACCACAGAGGUUUAUAUGGAGACCAAGUGGCAAAAGAACUGGAGGAAUGGAAGCAUCAGAAGCCUCUUGGAGUCUUGUUCCAGUCUGGAGAUGGCAUUCUGAGGCCACUGAAACUCAGCAGCAAUGCAGGGAUCAGACUGUGGCAUUGUGGAAUUUUCUGGGACUAAGUGAAUACAGAGUACAAACAGUCCAGACCACAGAAGCCUACCUGGGAUUCAAAAUCCUCCAGGGACAAAGGGGGUUGGGACAGGAAGGAAAAGAAGCAAUUUGCCAACUCCCACAGCCAUGAAGGAUGAGAGAGUCACAGGCAUUUCUCAGGGCGGGGGAUGAUGUCAGCUGUGCAUCAGCAAUUAUGGGCUGCUGGUAAAGCCGCUGUGAGAGCUUUUGAAGGCAGCUCAGCAGGACUUUAUAGUGUGGACUGGUAUGGCAUUGGCUGCCUUUUCACAGCUCCAGCGAGCCCUCAUGCGGGCCCUGCUUUGGGGCUCCCAGACCCCAUGGACCCAUUGGAUCUGUUUCCCUAUGAGAGACAAAACCCAGCACGGGGAAUGCUGUCACAGUUCCUGGGGACUGCAGCAGGGCUGUGCCUACUAUUCCCAGCAACCAGACAGUGUCAGCCAGGGCUGUCUGGGCUGUCUGAGGGCAGUAGCAGCUGCUCUUUUAUUGAUCCAGAAAGCUCAAGAACUGACUUUGGGACAGAGUGUUAUAGUUUAAAAAUUCUUUCAAUACACAGUUCAAGAUGAAACCUCCUGGGCAUUUGAAGAAAUCUAAACCAAACUUCCUUCCUGAUUACCCAGCUGUGUUUGGUUAAAACAUCUGUUUGUGAUGGUCACCACAAUAAUUGCUGUAUGGCUUUCACUUCCAUCACAAUUCAGUGUUAUAGUGCACAAUGCUAUAAAAUGGAGCUAUUGAGAGACCAGUGCAUAUAAGGAACUGAACUUUUUCUCAAGAAAAGGGGGGAUGUGAUGAGGACAGUAGAACAGAACAGCACAACCUCAGAGAAACAGAUAAAGAAUGUCACUCACACAAAACACGAGUAGGAUGCCAGCUCUGCUCUGCAAGGCUGACAAAGCAGAAGCUAUGCAAAACAAUAUUGCCCUUACUCAAACGCAGGAGUUGAGGAACGGCCUCUAAAAAGGACACCAGAUGUUGGAAACAGACCCCAAAGAACCACAUAAAGACUUCUGAUAAGGGGUGCAACUAUAUCAAAUAAAGUCAAAGAAAGCAGGGAGAGCUCGCGAUUAUGUAAUCAGUGUGUCUGCAAAAAACUCUGUUCACUUGAUGGUCAGUACACUCGAAUGGAGGAAAGAUGGCCCAAGUGACCACCAUGCUGUAAUAAAGAAUACCUGCUUUCAAAUA